ACUGGUAGGCUAGAGUCUUGUAGAGGGGGGUAGAAUUUCAGGUGUAGCGGUGAAAUGCGUAGAGAUCUGAAGGAAUACCAGUGGCGAAGGCGGCCCCCUGGACAAAGACUGACGCUCAGAUGCGAAAGCGUGGGUAGCAAACGGGAUUAGAUACCCCGGUAGUCCACGCCGUAAACGAUGUCUACUUGAAGGUUGUGGCCUUGAGCCGUGGCUUUCGGAGCUAACGCGUUAAGUAGACCGCCUGGGGAGUACGGUCGCAAGAUUAAAACUCAAAUGAAUUGACGGGGGCCCGCACAAGCGGUGGAGCAUGUGGUUUAAUUCGAUGCAACGCGAAGAACCUUACCUACUCUUGACAUCUACAGAAGCCAGCGGAGACGCAGGUGUGCCUUCGGGAACUGUAAGACAGGUGCUGCAUGGCUGUCGUCAGCUCGUGUUGUGAAAUGUUGGGUUAAGUCCCGCAACGAGCGCAACCCUUAUCCUUGUUUGCCAGCACGUAAUGGUGGGAACUCCAGGGAGACUGCCGGUGAUAAACCGGAGGAAGGUGGGGACGACGUCAAGUCAUCAUGGCCCUUACGAGUAGGGCUACACACGUGCUACAAUGGCGCAUACAGAGGGCAGCAAGCUAGCGAUAGUAAGCGAAUCCCAAAAAGUGCGUCGUAGUCCGGAUUGGAGUCUGCAACUCGACUCCAUGAAGUCGGAAUCGCUAGUAAUCGUGGAUCAGAAUGCCACGGUGAAUACGUUCCCGGGCCUCGCACACACCGCCCCUCGGCACCAUGGGAGUGGGCUGCACCACGAAGUAGAUAGCU
rnacentral:rRNA from 1 species